UACGUAGGGUGCAAGCGUUAUCCGGAAUUAUUGGGCGUAAAGAGCUCGUAGGCGGUUUGUCACGUCGGAUGUGAAAGCCCGGGGCUUAACUCCGGGUCUGCAUUCGAUACGGGCUGGCUAGAGUGUGGUAGGGGAGAUCGGAAUUCCUGGUGUAGCGGUGAAAUGCGCAGAUAUCAGGAGGAACACCGGUGGCGAAGGCGGAUCUCUGGGCCAUUACUGACGCUGAGGAGCGAAAGCGUGGGGAGCGAACAGG
rnacentral:rRNA from 1 species